GAUGAACGCUGGCGGCAGGCUUAACACAUGCAAGUCGAACGGUAACAGGUCUUCGGAUGCUGACGAGUGGCGAACGGGUGAGUAAUAUAUCGGAACGUGCCCAGUCGUGGGGGAUAACGCAGCGAAAGCUGUGCUAAUACCGCAUACGAUCUAUGGAUGAAAGCGGGGGAUCGCAAGACCUCGCGCGAUUGGAGCGGCCGAUAUCAGAUUAGGUAGUUGGUGGGGUAAAGGCCCACCAAGCCAACGAUCUGUAGCUGGUCUGGGAGGACGACCAGCCACACUGGAACUGAGACACGGUCCAGACUCCUACGGGAGGCAGCAGUGGGGAAUUUUGGACAAUGGGCGCAAGCCUGAUCCAGCAAUGCCGCGUGCAGGAUGAAGGCCUUCGGGUUGUAAACUGCUUUUGUACGGAACGAAAAGGUCCUAGUUAAUACCUGGGGCCCAUGACGGUACCGUAAGAAUAAGCACCGGCUAACUACGUGCCAGCAGCCGCAGUAA
rnacentral:rRNA from 1 species